rnacentral:rRNA from 1 species
AUGAGCUCUGAAGGCGGUGGCACCGCCAUCACAGGCAAGAAGCGGAACAGGGCCCAAAUUCAGACACUAGUCAGGGAAGGCUCUCUCUAUAACCUCACCCUCAGUGAGGUUGAAAGCCACCUCGGUGCGCCACUUCUUAGUAUGAACCUUGAUGACUUUGUGAGGAGUGUUCUUCCAGAUGAGAAGAACCUUCCAUUACCAAAUGGCGCUGGGAAUUCAGGCAGUCAAAGCACGUCAGCUUUUGGUUUGGAACGUCAGGGCAGCAGCAUUACUGUACCCCUGCCAUUGAGCAAGAAGACAGUGGAUGAAAUUUGGAGAGACAUCCAGCAGGAAGAGGAGAGUAGUGAUGAUGAGAAAAGGAGUUCAGGUUGUGAGGCACAGAUGUCGUUUGGGGAGAUAACACUUGAGGAGUUCUUGCAAAGGGCUGGCAUUGUUACUGGGCAGUAUCAGAAGGAUGCUGAGGAGUUAAUUGAUCUUGUAGGAACUGGAGAAAGUGCUCAUAUGAUGACCAGAGUGCAGGAUUUCCCACAGGGAACAAGUGCAAUUGAUGCGUAUAUUGUACGUCAGUCGAUUGCGCAACCGCUGAGUGUUGCAAUCCCUUCGACAAUGGAUUCCAUCUACCCAGAUCGUCAAAUGAGUAUUUCGUCAUCUCUAGAACUUUCUGAUCUUCAAAGUCCUAGUCGUAAGAGAAUGUCUUCCCAGGAUGUGGUAUACAAGGUUGCUGAUCGGAGGCAGAAGAGGAUGAUCAAGAACCGAGAAUCGGCUGCACGUUCAAGAGCUAGGAAACAGGCCUAUACAAACGAGCUCGAAUGCAAAUUGUCUUGUCUGGAAGAGGAGAACAAAAGGCUGAAGAGAGAGAAGGAGUUGGACAUGUUAUUGAAGUCGGCGCCCCCUCCGGAACCGAAAAAGCAUCUUCGGAGAACGCGAUCGACCUCAUUCUAA